rnacentral:ncRNA from 1 species
UCUGAUAAGCGAUGAAAGGGAAUCCGGUCAGAGUCCGGAACAGUGCCCGCUACUGUAAGUUCUUUAGUCUUUUUAACAAAUCCAAUUGUCACUUCUAAAAACAUUAGAGGGAAGACCGUUAAAAAGAGAACAAGUCAGGAAACCUGCCAUGAACAAAU